rfam:Fukomys damarensis contig117696, whole genome shotgun sequence.
GGUGUAGCUCAGUGGUAGAGCGCAUGCUUAGCAUGCACAAGGCCCUGGGUUCAAUCCCCAGCACC